AGUCGCUCGUGGGCAGGAUCGCUGGGCUCCCGGCGCCGCAGGUCCCUUCGGAGGUGUCCGCCUCCUCUCCCUUGGCGGCCGCCGUCGCCCCCCUCGCCGGCGAAUCCCCUCCCACUUGACUUCUUUUUGUUGUCGUCGCCCCACCUCCCCACCGUAGGGCUCCUCGGAGCCGAGGCGCCGCUUCUCGUCCAGGCGAGAGUAAUCGAGCCCCGCUGGGGCCGCCGCGAGCCCAGGCCCCGGGGCGCUCUAGGACCCGUCGGCCCGGGGCGUGCGGAGCGGCUCAGGCUCCCCGCGCAGUGCUGCUAGCUCUCGCCUCAGUCCCGUUCCCGUUUGCCGCCUCCCUCCAAAGAGGAACGCAUUGCCUUUGGUACUUCAGUGUUUAAUUCCGUAGCAUUGACCAUAUGGGCAGUAGAAACCACUUCUGAAGGCAGUCUCCCACUUAGAAUAGUGACUGUUUCAUUAAUUAAUUUUACGAGGACUCACAGUGAACUUAACAGUGGUAGAAGAUGUCAUUAAUAAAGACCGGCAUAUCUUCAAAAAGCAGGAGCAGGCACUGUAUGAAUACAAGAUUAUAGUGUGUGUUUAGGAAGGGCUUCUAGAGACGUCAGAACAUUUUAUAGACUCGUUAAUUUUCAUAACAGGGUUCUUAGGUAACAGAAAAUUAUGCCCAUUUUUAAAACAAGGAAAUAUUUACCGAGAUCAGCAGAGUCAAAAAUAGGACUUCCUACUUUGCAAUUCCCAAUAGAAUGCUUCGUCGACUAAUUUGGCACAACUUGCCAAGUGUUGCUCUCUGACCCAUCAUAACAUUACUACUUUGUUUUCACCACUUCCCUUUGUUUAGCUUAUCCCUCCCUAGCUGGCAAAAUCAGGCUUUGCAUAUGUAAAUUGUGUGAUGUAAAUUCUGAUAUUUUGUUUGCUUCCAAAGAUAUGAUGGUAAUCAUUUGGUCAAAUAAGAAAUGUUUUGCCGAAGAGAAAAUUAUUUCGUUUUGAAGAAGGUAGGCCAAAGGUGAUUUAAUUUAAGGCCAAGAUUAUCUGGCCAGAACAAAUAACAGAGUCAUUCGGCCUAAUUUCUCCCUCAGUUACCCAGACAACUAGAUGUUCUGUUGUACUUUUAUUAUUAUUAUUAUUAUUGUUUUGUCGCCCAGGCUGGAGUGCAGUUGUGUGGUCUCAGCUCACUACAACUUCCGCCUCCCGGGUUCAAGCGAUUCUCCUGCCUCAGCCUCCCAAGUAGCUGGGACUACAGGCAUGUGCUCACACCCAGCUAAUUUUUGUACUUGUAGUGGAGACGGGGUUUCACCAUGUUGGCCAGGCUGGUCUCGAACUCCCGACCUCAAGUGAUCUACCCGCCUCAGCCUCCCAAAGUGCUGGGAUUACAGGCGUGAGCCACCAUGCCUGGCCUCUGUUGUAGUUUGAUAGAAAUAUCCAUUAAUUUUAACCUGUUGUUUGAUGACUUUUUUUAAACCACUGCACUUUGAAUCACAUGAUGUCACUGUAUUUACAGUGUUCUAACACUUUCAUUUAUAUUACAGUAACAAUGAGUUCAAUGUAAGCCAAGCUCUAUUUAAAUGUACGAUAGCCAUGUUAGAAUAAAUGGGCUCCAGACGUCAUUAAACUUUCUUGAAACA
rnacentral:lncRNA from 1 species